AGUGAACGCUGGCGGUAGGCCUAACACAUGCAAGUCGAACGGCAGCACAGUAAGAGCUUGCUCUUACGGGUGGCGAGUGGCGGACGGGUGAGGAAUACAUCGGAAUCUACUUUUUCGUGGGGGAUAACGUAGGGAAACUUACGCUAGUACCGCAUACGACCUACGGGUGAAAGCAGGGGAUCUUCGGACCUUGCGCGAUUGAAUGAGCCGAUGUCGGAUUAGCUAGUUGGCGGGGUAAAGGCCCACCAAGGCGACGAUCCGUAGCUGGUCUGAGAGGAUGAUCAGCCACACUGGAACUGAGACACGGUCCAGACUCCUACGGGAGGCAGCAGUGGGGAAUAUUGGACAAUGGGCGCAAGCCUGAUCCAGCCAUACCGCGUGGGUGAAGAAGGCCUCCGGGUUGUAAAGCCCUUUUGUUGGGAAAGAAAAGCAGCAGGUUAAUACCCCGCUGUUCUGACGGUACCCAAAGAAUAAGCACCGGCUAACUUCGUG
rnacentral:rRNA from 1 species